ensembl:lncRNA
CUUCUUUCUGCUUAAUGUGGUGUCAGCUGGGGACCAGAUCUAACUCAUUUCCUAGUAGCAUACUGAAAUAGUUUUCCAUGAGAAGUGCUGCAGUUUUUUAUUGCACACAUACAAUCCUUUGUUGAGAUUAUAAUUGUUUCCUACCAUCAGUGAUUCUUCUUUUUUUUCUUGCUGUACUUUCCAGCUCUCAGUAUUGUUCUGUGUCUCGGAACUGCAGGUUUUCCACAAAAGAAAAUUCGGUUGUGUCAAGGUGAUGGUGUGGUUAUUGUUUUUCUUUGGGCAUGGGCCAAACCACGCAGAUGGCAUACUAGGACGAGCCUGUGCCUCUUCCUGUCAUGAUGCUGAUAAGUCCAUAGUCAACACUGUCACUCCUUUUGUAACAUUUUUAUAAGCUCCCUUCCACUUCAGCAUUAGGAGACUCAGCUCUACGCUCUCCAGGUAUUCCCACUUGGUUCAUAACGUCUCUCGUCAUUCUCCCGUAAUGGAAGGAGACCAAUGGUUUUGUUGCCAACUCUUCGAGAAAAUCAGAGGAGCGACUGGGAAAUCUGUCUUCCAUGGAAAAGAGGAAAGAUGCUAAGGGACAGGAUGUACCCUCCUUGACAGUGUGGUCAAACAGCCAGCUUCCUCACUUGUCCCUAAAGAGCUCUCAGACAACUGUCUAGAAAAGUGCACAGUAUCCCCAGCUGUUAACAGCAGGAUAUACUGCAGCACUCCAGACUGCUGCUGCCAUGUCGUUUCAGUGCCUCCGGGGUCAGCUCAGUGUAUUAAAUUAACAGUUUUCCCAGGCAAUGCAAAAUGUCUGUGAACAGAAUGGUGCAGCAUAAUAAUGGGAUACAAGGGGAAGAUACCUGCUUAAAUAUGAAAUGUUUUGGUAAGAGCAGGAGACGUUGAAGUGGUUCUGACUUACAUGACUUAGUGCCAAACACACGUUGUCAUGCAGCAGUCCCAGCACGCUGUGUGUCUGUUCACCACCACUUCACAUUUUCAUAGCUUAUUUUAGAACAGUUGCAUUUUUUUUUCCAUCCUUAAUAAUUUAUGCGCUUAGAAUUAUCAAUAACGUGAAGCUUCAUUAUAAACUAUCUGGAGGAUUCUCAUCUGACUCGUCCCAUUAAAUUAUUAUUCCCAAACAUGAUUUAUAUUUAAUAAGACAUCAAUUGAACAUCAGUAAAAAUAAUAAUUAAUGAACUAUAUCUUCAUAGAAAUAUCAAUAGCUUAAAGACAAGCAAAUGCUGUGUACGGUCUGCAGGUCAGCUGUCAAACCUCUCUGAGAAUAUUUGUCUGUUUAGUAUUUAGAAUAUGAUAGUAAACCACACAGAUAUUUAAUUGCUGUGGUCUUCAGCUGAUUCUUGUGACAACUGUGGACCACGCCAAACCAUGAACCUGUAAGGCAGAACUGGGAAGUAACAAAGUGUUCUGUGUAGGUGAGGAGGUAAUCUCAAAACACUACAAAUGCCCAAGCAACUUCACGUUUCCACAAACAAAAUGUCAGAAGAAUUUUGGUUUGGGUAACUUUUUUUCUUUAACAUGAUCUACUGGAUUGAAAUGCUCUAUUUCUCCAUACAGAAAGUCAAAAUAAACAAUUUUACUGAUUGAAACUUCUGCCUAAAAACACAUUAAAAUAGCCUAAAGUUCAACAGUGUCGUUUGAGUCUUCUGUUCUAACAAACUAUUGCUCCACAGGACAAACUUCAUCAAAUAUUUGUAUUCAGAAAGAAGUGACAUUACUUCAUCCCAGGGAAUUGCAGCAAAGGCCCUUAAUCCUACUGCACCUUAUAGCAUUGCAGUAGUGGUUAUCACUCAUCAGGGACCACUUCUGUUUACAUUUCCUCAGCUUACACACAUCCCACAUGAGUCUUAAUGGAGGAGGAGAAAGGACAGGAGAAAAAGUUUUUCUGGAUUUUCUUCUUCAUUUCUAGUUUUUAUUUCUUACUUUCCUGUUCUGUUCAAAUUUCAUCAGGGAUUGAACAAAAGCUUCAGAUGGACAAGGUGACCACAUUGUCAGUAUCACACUUACCUUUGUCCAGGUUCAUUGGGAAGCAUUUACUCCCUGCUCCCUCAGACCCUCACUUAUGUAGGAUUUACACAAGGGCUUUGAUUGCACAUUCUGGAAGAAAGCCAAAAGACGUUACUGUCCUUCAGUGACAGCUUGAUGGUUUUUAAUAUUCGUUGGAUCUCCUUUUCAUCCACUGCACAUGCCUUUUUUAACUGCUCACGUCCACGAUUUGGCUUCUCCAUUACACAACCAAGGAUUAUAAGGGCAGCUGUCCUCUAAUGUAAAACACGAGUUGACGCAAACAUUGCAGUCUCAUUUAAAACUUUAAAGCCCCUUGAGCUUGAGAUACUUACAGCUCUACAGAGAUGUGCUAUUCAAACCCCAGCACAGAGAGGUUUCAGUUUAACUUUCUUAAAACGUUAAGAGCUGAUGGAACCAUAAAGACAUUCUGGUCUGACCUCCUACAUCGUGUUUUUACUCAGUCGCUUCCAUCUCGAUCCCCCCAACAUACUGAGACAAAUACACCUUUCUGAAAGGCUUGAUAUCUUAAUCUGCACCUGAAAAAUCUAUUACUCUACCACCAGUUCACACUAGCAUUAUUACCUCACACUCCAAAGCACAAUUGAGAA